CCUACGGGAGGCAGCAGUGGGGAAUUUUCCGCAAUGGGCGAAAGCCUGACGGAGCAAUACCGCGUGAGGGAGGAAGGCUCUUGGGUUGUAAACCUCUUUUUUCAGGGAAGAUAAUGACGGUACCUGAGGAAUAAGCAUCGGCUAACUCCGUGCCAGCAGCCGCGGUAAUACGGAGGAUGCAAGCGUUAUCCGGAAUGAUUGGGCGUAAAGCGUCCGCAGGUGGUUUUAAAAGUCUGUUGUUAAAGCGUGAGGCUUAACCUCAUAAGGGCAAUGGAAACUGUAAGACUAGAGUACGUUCGGGGCAAGGGGAAUUCCCAGUGUAGCGGUGAAAUGCGUAGAGAUUGGGAAGAACACCGGUGGCGAAAGCGCCUUGCUAGGCCGUAACUGACACUGAGGGACGAAAGCUAGGGGAGCGAAUGGGAUUAGAUACCCCAGUAGUCCUAGCCGUAAACGAUGGAUACUAGGCGUUGUCUGUAUCGACCCGGACAGUGCCGUAGCUAACGCGUUAAGUAUCCGCCUGGGGAGUACGCACGCAAGUGUGAAACCUUAAAGAUAGUCGCGNGNGAGNGCGACGACGAACGACGAGGAGGAG
rnacentral:rRNA from 1 species